AUGGAGUACAUCGUCCUUAACGUGGGCCUUGUCUUCCUGCCCGAGGACAUGGACCAGGCGCUCGUGGACCUCGGUGUACUCUCCGACCCCGGCUCGGGCCUUUACGAUGCUGACUCGGAGCUCGACGUCUUUGAUGGGUACUUGGAGUAGGGUCUCGACUGCCUUCCCCUCUUCCCUCGAGCCGCAACCCACGCCCUGGACCAGCCGCCCAGAUCAUGCCGCCGCAGCUGGUUGGGGGCACCAUCUGGACGGGGAUGGUUCCCCAGGAGGAGAUCCUCCCCUGCCUCCGAGGCCUGCCUGCUCCCCUCAAAAGCUUCGUGCCAACAGAGAGGUUCCUGUUUGGACCCAGGAGAGUAGAAAAGAGAUUGGGACUGAGUGCUGAGGUUGGGAAGGCACCUGCUCCCACAGAAGGGGGAACGCAAUGGGCGUCCCACGACCUCAUCUGCCCGCAGCGUCACUCCGAUGGCCUGGCCUUGGCUUCUGAUUAUUUGCAGCUGCGAUGGAAGUUUACAGGAACCCAGCCAGAGUUUGCCUCCCCGCACUUCACCCCGGAGCGCACCUGCUUCCCCCACUUCACCUUCAGAGAGGACACUUCAAACUGCGGACACACGCAAAAGCAACUCCCAGCUCCGUUUGAUGUGAGUUGAGCCUUCAGGCCAGCUGAGUUUAGCCCGAGGCUGGUCUUAGAUGCAGCAGCUGUUGCAGGGAGUGACUCAGAAGAAAAAGCUGAGGAAGCUGUCGGGGGCUGAGGGUGGGAUUCUCGCUUCUUCAUUUCAGGUUACUCGUUCUUCAGCAAGUUGGCAAAACAGACAUCAUGCUGGGGAGGGCCCCAUCACUCCCCUGGCUGGAAAGGCUUUUCUGACAGUAUGAGUGUUGUGCCUACUUAAUUCUGAUAAACCUGUUUAAGCAAUACGUAGGAGGCUGACUUCUUUGGAUUAAAAAAAUGUAUGCAACUCCAACCCCUGGGGCCCUGCGUUUUUUUGUUUUUUUUUUUUUUAACUUUGAGAUUCGGGAAAGGAGU
rnacentral:lncRNA from 1 species